rnacentral:rRNA from 1 species
CAUUCCCUACGGGACGCAGCAGUGAGGAAUAUUGGUCAAUGGGCGGGAGCCUGAACCAGCCACGCCGCGUGAGGGAAGAAGGUACAGCGUAUCGUAACCCUCUUUUGUCAGGGAACAAAGGCGGGGACUAGUCCCCGGAUGAGGGUACCUGAAGAAAAAGCAUCGGCUAACUCCGUGCCAGCAGCCGCGGUAAUACGGAGGAUGCGAGCGUUAUCCGGAUUUAUUGGGUUUAAAGGGUGCGCAGGCGGCCUGUUCAGUCAGC